GAAAAUGAUAAAAAAAUUCAUAAAACACUAGCAACACUGAUCUCUGCGGGAUUUUUUUUUUUUUUUACCGUUCCCUUGAAUGCUCGAUACUUGACCACUACGCCCUGCAUGAUGUCAGUUGAUGAUUUUAUACAAUGUGGAAAGAGAAUGGGAAUAUCGAUCGGUUAACAUAAAAAAGUAUUACACGUCUGCCCGAGUUUUCAAAUAUUUACUCUUGCUAUAUCAAAUUGUGUCGGACUCUGCAAGGUCUUGUCAUAUUGUUCCAUAAAAACUUUGGAUAUGAACAAAUCGGUUCAGUUAAGGUGUUUCUUCCCUAGGUUUACGUAAGCGAGAGAAUAUAAUGUUUUAAAGACACGCCACUGUUCAGCACAAGGUGGCUAAAGUUUUCUGUUUUCAACUCUGAAAAAAAAAAAAGGGGGGAUCCCAGCAGCUGUUUCGGGCGGGCUUUAACGACUGGCUUAUUAACUAUUGAUUACAAUGGGUCAAUCACGCAUCCCCGUUAGAGUCCACCCUACGUAUAUAUAUACAUAUGUACUCUGUAAGUGAAACACCGAUGGAGAUGUUAAGUGGCUUCUAAAUGUCAAUAUCGGAUUUUAAUCAUCAGCCAGUGAAACACCAUACAAGUUGCGUGUAGUCCUUAAAUUACGUGAUAUUUCAACAUACACGAAACGCUGUGAUUUCUCGCUUAAAUACAGUGUACACUUUUAAAAACCGUGUACGGAUGUAUGUGUGGGUUGGAUUUCUGAAAACUUAAGGAGGGAUGACACCAAGGGCAUAUUUGUUUGUUAAGUCUUGUGCAGAAUAUGAAUAUUUAACGUGUAGGAACUACUGAAUUUUGUGUGCACGUUCUGAACACUAGCCAAAAUAUUGGGAUUUGUUUUGGGGUUUUUUUUUCUUCAAGUGAGUGAAAGCGUCCGAAAAGAAAACAUUUUAUUUUCAAGUCUAAUGUCACCUUAAAACAAGCCAAUUUUAAUAUCUAAUCAUUUUGUUAUAUAAAAGACGAAACCAAAAAGCUUUAUUCCGUGCAAAGAGCAGAAUUUAAUUCCCAAACGCAAUCUUGUUUUAUUGAUGUUCAAAGAACAGAAACUUCGGAGUUACGUGUUCUUCGCAAAUUAACCUGGACAUUAACGGAGUCUAGGGUGUCUCGUUGUGGAAGUCGUUCUCACUGCUACCGUUUUGAAAAUAGAUAUUUUAUUCUGUCAUAGUGCUCUUAAAAUACUCACAACACUUGCGUACCACGUGGUGACAUUUAGAAUAUGAGGGCCGAGGAGUGAUUUUGGAAUAACAGGACGAAAUGUGUGUUGCAUAAACAGACCUAUGGAUUAUUUACGGAGGAGUGUGUUCUGUUUAAAUUCUGCUCUCUAUGUCAACAUUUUACUGACGAUCUUUAUUCCUGGUUCUCAUCAGUUGUGCAAAUGGUCGAACGAGAACUGCAACGACGGGCUGGAAUGUUGCAGCAAAAACUGCGAUCAGGCGCACGUGGGCACCAGUGCACGGUGUAAACGGAGUACCGUGCACGAGCCGUGCUACGCUGAUUAUCACUGUGUGGAAUACUUAACCUGUGGUAGCAACUACCAGUGCUGCUCGCCAUUCUGGGGCGUGUGCACAGAUAGAAAGGACUGUUGUAAUCCGGAUCACGUGUGUCGUUCUGAACAAGGAUUCUACUAUCGACUGUGUCUAGGUCCCAAGAAUUCAGGGCGGGGGUCGCUUCUCAAUGCUAAUGUGUAUGCAAUAUUGUCGUGCCUUAUCUCGUACUCUCUCUAUUCCUUAAGACAAAUAUAAGGAUUUAGAGAGAUGACGAGAAUGAUUUUUCAUCGGACUGGAUGUGAAAAUGUACCCCCCUUUUUUUCCCCGAAAAAAAAAGAAAGAAACAGAUAAAUUGAAUGAAAUAAUUCUUAUUAAAAAAGAAAUGAAUAUGCAAGAUUACAGAAAUGCUACAUGUACUUAGCGAUUAAUUGUCGGUUAUUUUACAAACAUGACCUAAGAUAACGUUAUGUUACGUUUUAUUGCACGAUGUUGAUAAAUUUUUUUGCCAUGUUCGUCAUACUCUAUAAUGUCAUUUAAUUAAUCAUUUUCUGUUCAAAUUUGAGCAUUAGUACGAGAGUUAUCGUUUGAAGUUUUUCGCUUGCCGCGUGGAAAUGUUUGAAAUCUUCCAAGUGAAAGUGCCAAAUGCUGCGGAGAGAGAGGUCAAAGGUCACGUUAUUUGUUGAAGGGAAAAUACUUAUGGGCACAAGGAUGUAGAGUGCCUAAAUCAAAAUCAUAGACACUUGGCCCAAUGGAUCAAAACUAACAUAACUUUUACCAAAGAUAUUAGAAUAUUACAAGAAGACAAUGAAAAAUCUACAGUGUAACGAUAAUUGCACAAUAGAAUGAUCAAAGAUCUCUACAAGGCGAUGAUAAUCCUGACAAUCUGCAUAUGAUGCAGUUUUUAAAAUGAUAUCGUACGGAAUUCUGGUCUUCUACAUGUAACACCAUAAGCACAUGUAGAAGUUUUUUCCUGUUGUAAGGACAUAUUGAGAUCCAAGCCUAGCAUUAACCAAGCUGGUCAUGUUCAUUCGAUGUCAAACGUACAGUUACAUAUUUCAUAGACUUAAGCAUCCCUACAAGUCAAGGGUUACUGAUUCGUUACCUCUCACUAAUCGAUCUAGGUAACGAAACCCUUGACUUGUGAAGAUAAGACUUUAAAAGUAGAAUAAUGAAUUUCUCUGUCACAUCGAGUGGCUAGUUGAUUUCCAUGUAAUGUGUGCCAGUGGUGCAUGGUUGUCACCAAGUUCCGUAUCUCUGGGCAGACUAAGGAGAUAAACGUUGCUAGUUUCAGAGGUUUGUAUUUUCUGUUGACUUCCUCUUUGGUAUGAUGACAUCAAAUAUUGUGACGUCAUAUCUAGAUAUUGUCUCGACUCAAUAUUGGAUCACACUCGUCUUCUUAGUUCCGAAACUAGUUUAUUUGCGGUUACGGAAAUAGCCGAGUGGUUACGAUUGACCCCGACUACGUUCGACCUCUUCAUGCUUGUUCGUUUUACAUCAAGUAUUGAGCAAUCUCCAGUUGUAUGUGAACUAUCAACAUUUAGAAUAGAUGUAUAUGCUUACGGUCCUCAAACUAACCAACGCCUGCCAGGACACGUGACCUCCGUUUUUAAGGUCAUAUCCGAAAAACUCGUGAUUCUCAUUUUUUUUUAUGCCGAGCGUUUGGUGGAGUAGCAAUCACUACCUAUUUUAACGUCUUAAGUUUGACGCGGCCAUGGCACGAGUGGGACUCGAACUCACGACCUCCCAGUUACGACACAGACGCUCUACCUCUCUCCUUACCUUGGGAGUGUUUACUUUGACGCUGAAAAUUCGUUCGAUGGAUUUGUAGCUCAAUUUUUCUCUGUUCCGGUCUUUAGAGUUUGAUUCAAGUGCCUAUGAUUUAAAUUACUUGAGGACAGGAUUACACCUGGCUAAAAUCAAAAUUUUGUUAAGUUUCCACUUUGAAGCAGAUCCAGAAAAAAACAAACAUUUUAAUAACGCGACCGACCGGGUUAGAUGCACACGAACGAGCGUAAAGCAGUGCAUAAAAUAUUGCCACUUUCACACAAUAGUAUUACAAGUUAAAUGAAUUGUUCUUCCUGCAAAAGUGCCCGGUAUCUUUAAAAGCAAUAUGUACAUGUUACUUGUUAAGUUUUGUUCCAUUUUGUUUUAACUAUAUAGUUUUGUCUCAAUAAAGCUACAUAUUACAAAUAA